AGUGAACGCUGGCGGUAGGCCUAACACAUGCAAGUCGAACGGCAGCACAGUAAGGGCUUGCUCUUACGGGUGGCGAGUGGCGGACGGGUGAGGAAUACAUCGGAAUCUACUUUUUCGUGGGGGAUAACGUAGGGAAACUUACGCUAAUACCGCAUGCGACCUACGGGUGAAAGCAGGGGAUCUUCGGACCUUGCGCGAUUGAAUGAGCCGAUGUCGGAUUAGCUAGUUGGCGGGGUAAAGGCCCACCAAGGCGACGAUCCGUAGCUGGUCUGAGAGGAUGAUCAGCCACACUGGAACUGAGACACGGUCCAGACUCCUACGGGAGGCAGCAGUGGGGAAUAUUGGACAAUGGGCGCAAGCCUGAUCCAGCCAUACCGCGUGGGUGAAGAAGGCCUUCGGGUUGUAAAGCCCUUUUGUUGGGAAAGAAAAGCAGCAGGUUAAUACCCCGCUGUUCUGACGGUACCCAAAGAAUAAGCACCGGCUAACUUCGUG
rnacentral:rRNA from 1 species